rnacentral:rRNA from 1 species
AUACGGAGGGGGCUAGCGUUGUUCGGAAUUACUGGGCGUAAAGCGUACGUAGGCGGACUGAUCAGUUGGGGGUGAAAUCCCAGGGCUUAACCCUGGAACUGCCUUCAAUACUGUCAGUCUUGAGUUUGGGAGAGGUGAGUGGAAUUCCUAGUGUAGAGGUGAAAUUCAUAGAUAUUAGGAGGAACACCAGUGGCGAAGGCGGCUCACUGGCCCAUUACUGACGCUGAGGUACGAAAGCGUGGGGAACAAACAGGAUUAGAAACCCUAGUAGUCC